rnacentral:rRNA from 1 species
UACGGGGGGAGCAAGCGUUGUUCGGAUUUACUGGGCGUAAAGGGCGCGUAGGCGGCCACCGCAAGUCGACUGUGAAAUCUCUGGGCUUAACCCAGAACGGUCAGCCGAUACUGCGGGGCUAGAGUGCAGAAGGGGCAACUGGAAUUCUCGGUGUAGCGGUGAAAUGCGUAGAUAUCGAGAGGAACACCUGCGGCGAAGGCGGGUUGCUGGGCUGACACUGACGUGAGGCGCGAAAGCUAGGGGAGCGAACGGG